AAAACGACUCUCGGCAACGGAUAUCUCGGCUCUCGCAUCGAUGAAGAACGUAGCGAAAUGCGAUACUUGGUGUGAAUUGCAGAAUCCCGUGAACCAUCGAGUCUUUGAACGCAAGUUGCGCCCAAAGCCUCGGCUGAGGGCACGUCUGCCUGGG
rnacentral:rRNA from 1 species